rnacentral:misc_RNA from 1 species
AAAGUCGUAACAAGGUUUCCGUAGGUGAACCUGCGGAAGGAUCAUUAUUUUGGCAAGCGGGGCUGCCCCAGUGCGCUGUACACCGGCGCCUGGGACGGUUCCAACAAGCCCAUCCGUGUCUUUGGUGGAUUGUCUGUUUCCUCGGCGAGCUUGCUCGCCAAUGGGGACCAACCUAAACACUUUGUAGUUGUAGUUGUACUGUCAGUAAACAAACCUAUUAAAACUUUCAACAACGGAUCUCUUGGUUCUG